rnacentral:rRNA from 1 species
AUUGAACGCUGGCGGAAUGCUUUACACAUGCAAGUCGAACGGCAGCACGGACUUCGGUCUGGUGGCGAGUGGCGAACGGGUGAGUAAUGUAUCGGAACGUGCCCAGUCGUGGGGGAUAACGUAGUGAAAAUUACGCUAAUACCGCAUACGAUCUAUGGAUGAAAGCGGGGGAUCGCAAGACCUCGCGCGAUUGGAGCGGCCGAUAUCAGAUUAGGUAGUUGGUGGGGUAAAGGCCCACCAAGCCAACGAUCUGUAGCUGGUCUGAGAGGACGACCAGACACACUGGAACUGAGACACGGUCCAGACUACUACGGGAGGCAGCAGUGGGGAAUUUUGGACAAUGGGCGAAAGCCUGAUCCAGCCAUUCCGCGUGCAGUAUGAAGGCCCUCGGGUUGUAAACCGCUUUUGUACAGAACGAAAAGGUUUCUACUAAUACUAGGAGCUCAUGACGGUACUGUAAGAAUAAGCACCGGCUAACUACGUGCCAGCAGCCGCCGUAA